rnacentral:rRNA from 1 species
AUGGGGAGGAAGGGUGGAGAGGGAGGAAGGAGGAGAGGUGUUGCGGGCGAUUUGAGGGCCAGCGUUGAAGAUGCCCCAACAUUAACAUUUGUAAAUGACACAAAAACUGAAAUUGCUGCCAGACGGUUUCGUUAUCGAUGGUUCAAUGAACCCAGCUUCAAAAACGGACGACACGCACCAAGACGAUCCGAUCCUGCGACAGAUCAUCAGCAGUUCACCGCCUCCGUCGGGUCAACUGUUUGCUUUCCAUUUUUCCUUUGCAAAAAGUCCACUAUUUUUCCUUAUCUGAACAACACAGCGCGUGAAAUCUUUCCUACGAGGAAUAGAUUACUCAUCAAUGGACUAAAUCGAAUCCGCCGCCCCCCACCACCACCGCCACCGCGAGAGGAAGAAGACGACUUCCUCCCCCAGCCGUCGUGGCGAGCUGGCGAGGGGCUACGCGGCGCUACGCCUAUGCGCACACCCGGCCGGAAAAUCAGCUGCAGAUUCAUUUUCGAGCCUUGCCCGGCCGCCGCGCCGGCCGUCGCCAUCGGCGCCGCUUCAAAUCCAUGGCUUUUUUUACGCUUUCCUCGCCAGCGGCUCCUGCGUAGUCCUUUGCCACGCCUGACGCCGCCCCCCACCCAAACCCCCCUUUAA